rnacentral:rRNA from 1 species
ACGGUCCUAAGGUAGCGAAAUUCCUUGUCGGGUAAGUUCCGACCCGCACGAAAGGCGUAACGAUUUGGGCACUGUCUCAACGAGAGACUCGGUGAAAUCAUAGUACCUGUGAAGAUGCAGGUUACCCGCGACAGGACGGAAAGACCCCGUGGAGCUUUACUGUAGCCUGAUAUUGAAAUUCGGCACAGCUUGUACAGGAUAGGUAGGAGCCUUUGAAACGUGAGCGCUAGCUUACGUGGAGGCGUUGGUGGGAUACUACCCUAGCUGUGUUGGCUUUCUAACCCGCACCACUUAUCGUGGUGGGAGACAGUGUCAGGCGGGCAGUUUGACUGGGGCGGUCGCCUCCUAAAAGGUAACGGAGGCGCUCAAAGGUUCCCUCAGAAUGGUUGGAAAUCAUUCAUAGAGUGUAAAGGCAUAAGGGAGCUUGACUGCGAGACCUACAAGUCGAGCAGGGUCGAAAGACGGACUUAGUGAUCCGGUGGUUCCGCAUGGAAGGGCCAUCGCUCAACGGAUAAAAGCUACCCCGGGGAUAACAGGCUUAUCUCCCCCAAGAGUUCACAUCGACGGGGAGGUUUGGCACCUCGAUGUCGGCUCGUCGCAUCCUGGGGCUGUAGUCGGUCCCAAGGGUUGGGCUGUUCGCCCAUUAAAGCGGUACGCGAGCUGGGUUCAGAACGUCGUGAGACAGUUCGGUCCCUAUCCGUCGUGGGCGUAGGAAAUUUGAGAGGAGCUGUCCUUAGUACGAGAGGACCGGGAUGGACAUACCUCUGGUGUACCAGUUGUCGUGCCAACGGCAUAGCUGGGUAGCUAUGUAUGGACGGGAUAAGUGCUGAAAGCAUCUAAGCAUGAAGCCCCCCUCAAGAUGAGAUUUCCCAACUUCGGUUAUAAGAUCCCUCGAAGAUGACGAGGUUAAUAGGUUCGAGGUGGAAGCGUGGUGACACGUGGAGCUGACGAAUACUAAUCGAUCGAAGACUUAAUCAA